GGGAUCUGUUCAUUUCUCAGUGAGGGAUCUGUUCAUUUCUGUGAGGGAUCUGUUCAUUUCUCAGUGAGGGAUCUGUUCAUUUCUCAGUGAGGGGAUCUGUUCAUUUCUGUGAGGGAUCUGUUCAUUUCUGUGAGGGGCUCUGUUCAUUUCUGUGAGGGCUCUGUUCAUUUCUGAGUGAGGGGAUCUGUUCA
rnacentral:lncRNA from 1 species